rnacentral:sRNA from 1 species
UGCAGCAGGAGACAAAGUUGGAGCCAGUGCAUCAGAUGGUUCAAAGAGUUUUUUUGGCCCAGGGAAGGCAGAACUAGAGGCAGUUGGUUCUUGUGUUGAG